rnacentral:rRNA from 1 species
UGAGGAAUAUUGGGCAAUGCCCGCAAGGGUGACCCAGCAACGCCGCGUGGAGGAUGAAUGUCGUAAGAUUGUAAACUCCUGUUAGAGGGGAAGAAUAGUACCGGUUGGACUGGUAUAUGACUGUACCCUCAGAGAAAGCCCCGGCUAACUACGUGCCAGCAGCCGCGGUAAUACGUAGGGGGCAAGCGUUGUCCGGAUUUACUGGGUGUAAAGGGCGCGCAGGCGGGAUAAAAAGUCAGUGGUGAAAUCCUACAGCUUAACUGUAGAACUGCCUUUGAUACUUUUAUUCUUGAGUUCGGGAGAGAGAGACGGAAUUCCAGGUGUAGUGGUGAAAUACGUAGAUAUCUGGAAGAACACCAGUUGCGAAGGCGGUCUCUUGGUCCGACACUGACGCUGAGGCGCGAAAGCGUGGGGAGCAAAC